AUGUGAUCUUUGCCUCAAUGGAGGCAUCAUUUAGAGGCAUUGCCCCCAAAACACUGUGCCUGAGAGAGAGCAUCCUGCAGUUCAUGUAAUGAAAAGACCUGGCAUGAGACAGUGGAGCAGGACAGCUAUGGACCCCAAACUCAAAGAGGUGGAAAGCAUACCACAGACAUCUUUCAUUAGCACUGUAGCUGCACUGUCUAGAAGAUAAUCUGAGAGUGCUUGUUGAAUGAAGGAAUAGAUGGACAUGGCAGCCUUCAGUAGCAGUGACUCCUGCACUGACACCACCAGUAUGAGUGGGUAAGUUAGUGAUGGGACAGAAACACUUCUCAAGAUCUUCAGGCUUGGCCAAGGUACUCAAAUGCAUAGCUGUUGGAGAUAGCAAGAGGACUACAUUUUUACUUAUUUUCUUAAAAUAUUCCAACUCCUAUUCUGUUUUGUGUUUAAAAAUUCUAGUGUUUGCAAAUAUCUUGAAGGAAC
rnacentral:lncRNA from 1 species